UACGAAGGGGGCGAGCGUUAUUCGGAAUCACUGGGCGUAAAGCGUGCGUAGGCGGUUUUGUAAGUUAGAAGUGAAAGCCCAGGGCUCAACCCUGGAAUUGCUUUUAAAACUACAAAACUAGAAUCUCGGAGAGGAUAGCGGAAUUUCCAGUGUAGCAGUGAAAUGCGUAGAUAUUGGAAGGAACACCAGUGGCGUAAGCGGCUAUCUGGACGAGUAUUGACGCUGAGGCACGAAAGCGUGGGGAUCAAACAGG
rnacentral:rRNA from 1 species